rnacentral:rRNA from 1 species
AGAGUUUGAUCAUGGCUCAGAAUGAACGUUGGCGGCGUGGAUUAGGCAUGCAAGUCGAGCGAGAACCCCGCAAGGGGGGCAGCGGCAAACGGGGUAGUAAUGUGUCGGAACGUGCCCUCUGGACGGGGAUAGCGGCGGGAAACUGCCGGUAAUACCCGAUGAACUCGAGAGAACAAAGGUGUGAUUCCGCCGGAGGAGCGGCCGACAUGGUAUUAGCUAGUUGGCGGGGUAACGGCCCACCAAGGCUGUGAUGCCUAGGGGAUGUGAGAGCAUGAUCCCCACCAUUGGGACUGAGACACUGCCCAGACACCUACGGGUGGCUGCAGUCGAGAAUCUUCGUCAAUGGGCGAAAGCCUGAACGAGCGACGCCGCGUGCGGGAUGAAGGCCUUUGGGUUGUAAACCGCUGUCGAGGGGGAUGAAGGCUUGAAGGUACUCCUUCAAGUUUGACAGAGCCCUGGAGGAAGCACGGAGUCCGUGCAGCAGCCGCGGUAAUAC